GUGACUUUGGUGUGAGGAAAACCACCCGCCCGAGGUUCAAGUCUAAUAGGGGCAAAAGGAUACUUGAACACUGCCCAUAUCUGUCAGUUACAAGGAUCUGCAGAAAAGCAUCAAUGUGAGAAGCGUAACAUGUGCUAGCCAGUUCCGCAUCAAAGCGAAAGACCUGCUAGUUCAUUUCAGAACAAUAUAAGAUGUCACCAGUAGGCCUGGGCAACAAGUGAAGUUUACUACUCGUCUAGUGUCAAAAACAUUGUAGUCACGACUUUGACACUAGUUGUGACUAUUUUAAACUCCUAAGAUACAUUGCGGCAAGUUGUUUGCCGCAGGCCCAAUCAAGUAAAAUUUGUGCUAAAAGGAUUGAAGUUGUAGGGAAUAGGCAAGAGCGACACAAUGGGAGACUUUCCAACGCUAGGUGGCAGCAGACUUACCGGGUAAACUUCCAUUGUUUACGUAGUUAUGAGCUUGCACAUAAUUCUGCGAACAUGGCUUUACCCGGUAAGUCUGCUGCCACCUAUCGUCCUAGAAAGUUUCCUAGUCAUGACUGUUUUUUAGUAGUCAUGGUAGCACGUCGAGUAAUGUGAGUAGUUGAAAAAUGGUAUUUGUAACUCGACAAGGCAAUCAAUAGUCUCCACUUCGACACUUGUCUGUCACACUAGUCGCUCAGGCUUAGUCAUCAGUAGAGGAAAUAUCACUGGUGAUUAAGCAGAAGAAACUUCACCAGUGUCGAUAAAGAUAUACAUUUGUAAAGCUCAAUUCUAACUCUGUAAAGUAACAUAAAGCAAACUGACCUGUCCUUAUUUGCAAUUUUUUGCUAGCAACUAUUCUACAGCUGAAAAAUACAAUUAGAAAAAAAUUGACAAUUCCGAAAUACUAACCUAACAGUUGACGAAAUAAUCAUGUUUCUUGACUUUAAAGUGGAGAUCAUCAUAAUUGCAAUGAACUUAAAAGUUGUUAAGUAACCUAACAUUUUCCCAGCCUAAUGGGAGAACACAAACAAUUAUUUAUUAGCACCGUCUUUGUAAUCUUAAAAAAAGUUAUUUAAACAAUCAAUUGCUGUAAAUUGAUACUUCUUUUGUUUAAAAAUAAAGUUUUCAUUGUAGUGCAGUAUAGCUUGUAUGCAGUUUUUACUUGAUAGUCAGAGUAAUGUUAUUUUUAUUCUAAAAGAAUACUAUAGUUUUCAAAUAACAGAACAUACCUUUCGAAAUUUCCCUGCUUUCCAGUUUCAAUGCAAGGCAUGUUGUUGACAUAUAUUACAACAAAAUAAAGCUAUGUUUUCAGAA